rnacentral:rRNA from 1 species
UGGGGAAUAUUGCACAAUGGACGGAAGUCUGAUGCAGCAACGCCGCGUGCGGGAUGACGACCUUCGGGUUGUAAACCGCUUUUUCUCAUGACGAAGUUUUUUGACGGUAGUGGGGGAAGAAGCACCGGCUAACUACGUGCCAGCAGCCGCGGUGAUACGUAGGGUGCGAGCGUUGUCCGGAAUUAUUGGGCGUAAAGAGCUUGUAGGCGGUUUGUCGCGUCGAUAGUGCAAACUCAGUGCUUAACGCUGAGCCUGCUGUUGAUACGGGCAGACUAGAGGAAGGUAGGGGAGAAUGGAAUUCCCGGUGGAGCGGUGGAAUGCGCAGAUAUCGGGAGGAACACCGGUGGCGAAGGCGGUUCUCUGGGCCUUUCCUGACGCUGAGAAGCGAAAGCGUGGGGAGCGAACAGG